GGCGCCAGUUUCACAAAUUUGGAGCAGACUGAAACUCGAAAAUGCCCACCCAGUGUCCAAAAGACCAGUACCUGCGAGACUGGGGACUGACUGGGGCUGCGAGUUCCCAGGCAGGCAAGACCAACGUCAAUGCACAUGAAGAAGAGGUCCCGCAGGCAGAGUUGGAAAAACUGGACUCCUUGCGAACUAAACUGGAACAGUCGGUAGGUGCAUUCAUCAGGGCCAGGAAAGAGCUGGAGGAAAUAUUCUCAGCAGAGGGCAGCAGUGAACAAGGACGUUUCCCCACUGGAUCUUCUGCUGACCUGAAGACUGAGCUAACGAGACACUGAGAGCUGACAUCCAGAAUGGCUUCUUCGUUAAAAGGAAAUAAAGACCACAACAGUCACAGUCAAGGUUUUUGUUAGCGAGGCAGCCUGGCUGUUGACAGCUAAUGGAAUUGCUCUUCACCUCUUGUGCGUAUGAUCCCAUGGAGAUAAGGCGGGAGAUGAAUGUGGAAUCCGUGCUGUCAGUUGUGAGGCUGAGGUGUCUCGGAAGCCGUCAUUCAUUCGCGGGAGAAGCGCCUGAAACGGGUAUCCAUUUCCGACCGGCUAAGCACUGGAGGCUGGAAGGGUGUUCAUCAUACUGAGAGUAUGGAACAACGUGUCAGGCACGAGGAGUGCUACACAUAAAGACGUGCUCGCAACCUUGCGCUGUAACUUGUUAAAAACCCAGUGAAAUGAGCUCUUUAACAUAUUGGAAAUACUGUGUGUCACUUCCCAGAAAAUGGUGAAUCUUGAUUGACCCUGCACCAACAGAGUCAAACAAAAAUUCCUACAGUACCAAUAAACCCAUCACCAAGAAAUCCCAUAAUAUCAAACCGCCCUUCUCCAUUUUAAAGUGGAUUAAAAUGAAUGAAUCCCCACUGUGUCAUUUCUAUGAACAUCCUGUUGUCCAGCAGAAAUUGCAUCAAACUAAGGAAAAUAAAAAUACCAUUUCAUGGGCUGUUAAUUCACACAGAUACUUACCCAACACUCUGACAUAAAGGAAACCUAAUUAACCACAACCUGCUGUCAGACCCCCUCCCCACUGUCGUGAGUACCCUCCCCCCAUCUCAAAAC